rnacentral:lncRNA from 1 species
UCAGGCCGCUCCUUAUAAACAAGAAGUAAGUAAAAUUAAUUACCUUGAUGGAUAGCUUUAUAAUAAAAUAUCUUAUAUUUUAUUAUUUAAGAACUCAAAAUUUUAAUAAGAGGGAAUUGUCACAAAAACUAUUUUUAAUAACACAAAGAUCGAAUCUUUUAUAGUAUGUGAAUUUAGUUUAACUAUCUAUAUGCUUAGCCCUAAAUUAAUUUACAUCACAUGUAAUAAAUAAUUCAAAAUUAUAUAAUGAGCAAGCACAUGGCAUAAAACAAAAAUUCAACAUCAUCUAACAUAUUUAUCUUACUUAUCACAUAGAAAGAAUUCAUGCUAGAAUAUUAUUAUUAAUUAACAUCUCAUUAACUAAUAAUAAUUAAAAUAACAAUAGAAUCAUGUAACUUAUUAUAGAUUCCCGAUGUAUCUAAUACAAAAUUUCAAAAUCAAAUUAUGAACGAUCUCAAUAGUUACAUGAAUGCAUAAUUUAUCCACAAUAAAAUAAUAUCAACAUUCAAACGAUUUGACUAUUGCACAAGGUACAUCUAUGUCCACCUGGCUUAUUUAACUAUCCCAUGACCAAAUACAGCCUAUUCAAUAGAAUUUAAUCAACUAAACUUCUUACGAAAUGAUUAUACACUACAUGAACAACCACAUAUUCAAUAUUUCCAUAGUUCCACAUGCUCAAGCUGUUGGAUUGCUUUAAGGGUGUUCGUAACACGUAGCGGAAGACAAUAACAAUCUAAGGUAGAUUUUCUCAUGUUUAAAAUUUAUUUACGUGUCAAAAAUAGGAUUUAAGACGUACCUGGUGAAGAGAGUUUCUUUACCGAAAUUUCUUCGAUAGUGCGAAGUCUCUGUGCGUAUUCACACCGAGACCGAUCCUUGCUAUCAACCUUUUGAUAAAUGAAACCCCCGAACAAAUUGAACGGAAAUAUUAUGCUAAAGUUUUUCUCAAAAACUGUAGCUAAAACGUGAAAGACCAAGAAAACUAAUUUUCUUGUCAAGAAUUUUUUUUCUUUAUCUCACGAUUUUUUUUUUCUUCUUUCUGUAUCUCUCUCUCAAUUUUCUUCUUGUCAAUCAUCUUAAUGAUAUGUGUAUAUAUAUACACAUAUUGAGUCAAAAAAGGAAGGAAAGUAGUUGGAGAUUCUACCAACUUAAAUACAAUUCUAUUUAGAAUUGUAUAGCCAACACUAUUGAUUUGGCCAACAAUUCCAUUUUGAAUGGAAUUCCAAUUCCAUGGAAUUCUUGGCCGAUUUUAUUUCAUUCUGUCCUAUUUUUUUUU